GGGUAGAGGCGCGAUAUUUAUUAGUUUUUCAUGGAGCUUAGAGCAAAGCAAUGAUAUGAAAAAUAGGAAAUGUCGCCGAAGUGUGUAAGUAGGCUCUCUACUUCAUGCUGGGUCUGCAGUGAAUAAUUGCAGGACUGUCUCAGAUGGAGUUUCCCAACCAUCUGAGGGGUGCUAUC
rnacentral:ncRNA from 1 species